AACAUCUCUUAGAAAUGCUGCCCCUUGACCCUCCCCGCCUUGCACCAAGGCCACCUAGGAAUCCACCCAGACAGCAGCAACGAUGGACCUUGAUCUAUCGAUCACCUGUGGCAGCCUCGAUGCAAAGGAAAAGGAAGGAAAUAAAAAGAGGACGACCGACCGCAAAUCCUAUCAUAGAGAGGCCAUACAAAUCUCCCCCCCCGCACCGAUGCCACCUAGGAGUCCACCCGGAUAGCAGCAACAGUGGACCUCAAUCGAAUGAUCGCCUGCAGCAGCUUCAACACAAAGGCAAGGGAAGGAAAUAAUAGAAGACAAACCAAGCCCGCAAUCUCCCUUAGAAAUGCCCCCCAACCCUCCCCUCCCCACACAAAGGCCACCUAGGAGUCCACCCGGACAGCAACAACAAUGGACCUUGAUCGCAUGAUCACCUGUAGCAGCCUCAUUGUAAAGGAAACAGAAGGAAAUAAAACAAGACCAACUGAGCCCACAACCUCUCUUAGAAAUGUUGCCCCCCGACUCACCUCGCCCCGCACCGAGGCCACCUAGGGUUCCACCCACAAAUUUGCAACGGUGGACCUCGAUCACUUGACUUCCUGCAACAACCACAAUGCAAAGGAAAUGGAAGGAAAUAAAUGCAAAUCAAGAGUCCACCAGAAAGAUGGUGAACUAUGCCUGAGCAGGGCAAAGCCAAAGGAAACUCUGGUGGAGGCUCGAAGCGAUACUGACAUGCAAAUCAUUCGUCUGACUUGGGUAUAGGGGCGAAAGACUAAUCGAACCAUCUAGUAGCUAGUUUCCUCUGAAGUUUCCCUCGGGAUAGCUAGAGCUCACGUGCAAGUUUUAGCAAGUAAAUCAAAUGAUUAGAGGCAUCGGGGGCGUAACACCCUCGACCUAUUCUCAAACUUUAAAUAGGUAAGAGGGUGUGGCUGCUCCAUUGAGUCAUGUCGUGGAAUCGAGAGCUCCAAGUGGGCCAUUCUUGGUAAGAAGAACUGGCAAUGUGGGAUGAAUCGAAAGUCAAGUUACGGUGUUAAAUUGCAUGCUAACCUAGAUCCCACAAAGGGUGUUGGUUGACUAAGACAGCAGGACAAUGGUCAUGGAAGUCGAAAUUCGCUAAGGAGUGUGUAACAACUCACCUACCGAAUCAACUAGCACAGAAAAUGGAUGGCACUGAAGCGUGCAACCCAUACUUGACCGUCGGAGCAAUUGUUUGGCUCCGAUGAGUAGGAGGACGUGGGGGUCAUUGAGAAACCUCAGGUGUGAGCUUGGGUGGAUCAGCCUAUGGUGUAGAUCUUGGUGGUAGUAGCAAAUAUUCAAAUGAGAACUUUGCAAACUGAAGUGGGGAAAGAUUCCAUGUGAACGACACUUGGACAUGGGUUAGUUGAUCCUAAGAGAUGGGGAAGUCUUGUAUCAAGGGUGCACUCUGCACAGGCAUCAAAAGGGAAUUGGGUUAAUAUUCCCAAAUUGGGACAUGGCGGCGAGUGGCAACGUUAAGAAAUCCGGAGACGUCGUCAGAGGCCCCAAGAAGAGUUAUCUUUUCUUUUUAAGAGCUUGCCCACCCUGGAAUCGGUUCACUGAGAGAUAGGGUCCAGUAGCCGGAAGAGCACUGCACGUCUUGCGGUGUCUGAUGCACCCUCGGCGGCCCUUGAAAAUCUGGAGGACUGAGUACUGUUCAUGCCUGGUUGUACUCAUAACCGCAUCAGGUCUCCAAGGUGAACAACCUCUGGUCAAUAUAACAAUGAAGGUAAGGGAAGUCGGAAAAACAGAUUGGUAACUUCGGGAAAAGGAUUGGCUCUGAGGGCUGGGCCUAGGGGUCUGCACCCUCAACUCAUGGGUUGUCAACAAUCUGCCUGAGCUGCUCUUGCGGCGAGGGUGGGCAAUCGUGUGCCGAUUGGGCUACAGGCGUAAAAUGCCCCUGCAAGGGAAUUUUCCCUAGGCAUCAAACAGUCGACUCAAAACUGGUAUAGAUAAGAGGAAUCCGACUGUUUUAUUAAAAAAAAUCAUUGCGAUGGUCCCUACAGAUGUUGGCGCAAUGGGAUUUCUACCCAGUGCUCUAAAUGUUAAAGUGAAGAAAUUCAACCAAGCGCGGGUAAACGGCGGGAGUAACUAUGACUCUUUUAAGGUAGCCAAAUGCCUCAUCAUCUAAUUAGUGACAUGCAUGAAUGGAUUAAUGAGAUUCCCACUGUCCCUAUCUACUAUCUAGCAAAACUAUAGCCAAGGGAACGGGCUUGGUAGAAUCAGCAGGGAAAGAAGACCCUGUUGAGCUUGACUCUAGUCCGACUUUGUGAAAUGACUUGAGAGGUGUAGAAUAAGUGGGAGCCGUUUUCAGCGCAAGUGAAAUACCACUACUUUUAACGUUAUUUUACUUAUUUUGUGGGGCGGAGACGGGGCACUGCCCCUGUUUUUGGCCUUAAGACACAUUUCGGUGGGUCAAUCUAGGUGGAAGACAUUGUCAGGUGGGGAGUUUGGCUGGGGUGGCACAUCUGUUAAAAGAUAACACAGGUGUCCUAUGAUGAGCUCAACAAGAACAUAAAUCUCAUGUGGAACAAAAGGGUAAAAGCUCAUUUGAUUUUUAUUUUCAGUACGAAUACAAACCGUGAAAGUGUGGCCUAUCAAUCCUUUAGAUUUUUAGAAUUUGAAGCUAGAGGUGUCAGAAAAGUUACCACAAGGAUAACUAGCUUGUGGCAGCCAAGCGUUCAUAGCGACAUUGCUUUUUGAUCCUUCGAUGUUGGCUCUUCCUAUAAUUGUGCAGCGGAAUUCACCAAGUGUUGGAUUGUUCACCCACCAAUAGGGAACGUGAGCUGGGUUUAGAUUGUCGUGAGACAUGUUAGUUUUACCCUACUGAUGAACCGCACUGCAAUAGUAAUUCAACUUAGUACGAGAGGAACCCUUGAUUCACACAAUUGGUCAUCGUGCUUGGUUGAAAAGCUAGUGGCGUGAAGCUACUGUGUUUCGGAUUGUGACUGAAUGCCUCUAAGUCAGAAUCCACGCUAGAAGUGGUGUAUGUCACUCUUCAAUUGUAUCUCGGCCCACAGUAGGGGCGUCGCUUUCCCCCAGGGGCCCAUGUCAUUUUCAAAUCACGACCGUGAAGCAUCUCGGUCAGGGUAGCUUUGAAGUUCAUUUC
rnacentral:rRNA from 1 species